UGGGGAAUUUUGGACAAUGGGGGAAACCCUGAUCCAGCCAUCCCGCGUGUGCGAUGAAGGCCUUCGGGUUGUAAAGCACUUUUGGCAGGAAAGAAACGUCAUGGGUUAAUACCCCGUGAAACUGACGGUACCUGCAGAAUAAGCACCGGCUAACUACGUGCCAGCAGCCGCGGUAAUACGUAGGGUGCAAGCGUUAAUCGGAAUUACUGGGCGUAAAGCGUGCGCAGGCGGUUCGGAAAGAAAGAUGUGAAAUCCCAGAGCUCAACUUUGGAACUGCAUUUUUAACUACCGGGCUAGAGGGUGGCAGAGGGAGGUGGAAUUCCGCGUGUAGCAGUGAAAUGCGUAGAUAUGCGGAGGAACACCGAUGGCGAAGGCAGCCUCCUGGGAUAACACUGACGCUCAUGCACGAAAGCGUGGGGAGCAAACAGG
rnacentral:rRNA from 1 species